UCUUCCAGAUAUCGUUUCCUUGGCCCGGUAUUAUUUGCAGCCCUUGAUACUGGCUUAACGUUUAACGUUAACGUAAUGGGGUUAUGUACAUGUUGGCUAUUUGAGUUAGUCUCAGCUCCUGAUGUAAUAGUAAUAGUCUCCACCACCUGGUCUUUUUUGAUAUUCAGAGCUUUUUCUUUGAGUUCUUUAAAUUUGCUCUGAAAUUGAACGAGACUUGCUUCAGUUCCUUGUACCAUUACAGUCCCAUUAUGAUACAGGUUAACUGUCACCUUAAAGUCCUUUGCCCCCUCUAGUGUAAUCUGUCUUCCUCUGCUGAUGCCUCCUUUUCUCACACAUUUCCAGACAGUGCAGAGGGUGGUAUGCCAUACUGUGGGGUGAUUUGUGAAGAACAGGAGGUUACACAGGACCUUGUUGUCAUCCAGUCCCAUGUAAUCGGAGAUCAGUGCUUCUGGAUGUUCUCUCAUGAUGUUUUCUUUCAUUAUUUUCUUUUCUUUGGCUGUUUUUACAGUGUUGGGAUAAGAUAUUUCCAACUCAUCAUCAUUUGUGAAAAAUGCCUCAGCCUUAGCCAUGUUUUCUUCUAAUCCAGCAUCCAUUAUGAUGUCAUUAAGUGGCGGUUUGGCUAACUCUUCCAACAAUUAGCUUCUUGUAGGUUUGAUUUCUUGAUGAUUUUUUGGCUUUUGAAAAUUGACUCAGAGGUCUUACCUUGACAGUUUGUUGCCUCUGUUGUUUCUAUUCAACUUCCCAAUAAAAACUAUUACACUUUGACCUGGGUGGUGCUAGCCGCUGGAUGUGGAUGUCCCCGCCCCGUCGCAUAGCCUACAAAUACCGCUGUGAAAAAGCAGCGUGUGCGGCGGCAACAGGAUCGGGUUUGCGAGGAGAUGGGAGCUGACUACACAGCUGUUUCACAGCGAGGCAAUUGGUGGCUUUCCCGAGGUGAAGUGCUGUCGCGCUUGUUUGAGCUCCGUGUCGCCUCUUCUUGGAGGAAGAGCGCAUACGAAUCUACUCCUCCCCUUCUCUCCAAAGGUUUUCUGAAGUUUUUUGCAGCUGAAAUGGCAAACCAGGUUCCUAUUCCAUGUGUGGACAACCAACAAGGGUGUGGUGUGAAGGUGUAUGAGGACAAGACAUUUUACAACUCUCCUCUUCCUCAGAUCCCUGUGCAGGUUGUGGACAACCCAAAAGGGGCUGAUGUUCUUGUUUACUACGACAAGACUUUCUACAAGAGCCCCCAUUACCAGGCAAACAGACAUGGUCGACUCAGCACAACUUCAGGAACUGUGCCAUUUUUCCAGUGAUAAAUUAUGAAGUGAGAUCCCUUCACAGUCAGACCUGCACUUCCUCCAGAUCUCUAUGGUUGUCAUGGUGCUACUGCCUACCAGCCAUCAGCCUCAGUGGUGGUGCCCCAGCCUUUCUGCUGCAACCAAGCUCAGGAACAAAUCCACCUUUUUCUCAGCAUGCACUGCUCUACUCUUUCAUACUGUAUUUAUUUUCUAUACUUUUUAUUAUUUUUAUUAUUUUAUGCAUAGUGAAAUGCUCUUGAAGCCUGUUCUUUUGGCGAUGCGUUUUGCCAACAAAGGUUGAUUUGUUAGUGAUUUUGUCUUUGAUUGUAAAUAGGCUGGUUGUUGAUUGGCCGCUGUUAUGAAAUCCCCUACUUGUAGCACAAGGAAUUAUCUCUCCAGUGUGUAUUUGAAAUAUAUUUAUUGUAUCCUGUUUAAAUUAUCUCUGUACUUAUUAGAGCCACCAAAGUGCCACUUUCCACACCUCCCUCUACACUAACACUUCUGUGACCUCUGACUGCACUGGCUGUCCACUAGACCACUGUGUUACUGCUUACACUGUCUACACUGUUUACGAGCUAUAUUAGCCGAUAUGUACAACCCCUUACUGCAAAGCUAUCCUUGCACUGCUGCUAUAUCUUAUAUUACUAUAUUUCCAUUGUUGUGUGUGGUGUCAUAAGCUACUGGGACCUUGAAUUUCCCCUUGAGGAUCAAUCAAGAAUCUAUCUAUCUGUCUGUCUAUCUGUGAAACAGCAUGAGCCUCAAGGAUGCUGAGUAAAAUCUUCAAUGUGACCAAAACUUGCUCAGGGUAUAGGCUUUCAUUAAGAAGUCGCUUAACUUGUUACAAGUGUACUUUUUUCUACGACACAUGUUGUUCUCAGCUUUUUAUGUUCUGUUACUUUCCUUAAAUUUUAUUUUCUAAGAGUUGGAAAUUGACCAUAGAAGCACAGCCCAGUCGUUCAGCCUUAGUCAAAAUGUUACCUGCACUCCCUGUAUCUUCCUAAAUAUCACGAGGAAAAGCAAAAGAGAAAAGGAAAAGAGACUCCAAUCUGGGCGUUGGGAGCGUAGUGGUUAAAUUAUGCUAUAGCUAGAAAAAGUUGUGUUCGAUUCUCAGCUGCCACCGUUGUGCCCUUUAUGUUCCGGGGAGACUGGCCCUUCUAAUAGUUUAAAUAUGUAAAUAGCUUUUGAUAAAAGCGUAAUAUAUAAAUAAAUAUAUAUUUCUUUCAGUCUCA